UGUGUUUGUGCAUUGAAGAGCUUUUGGGUAGAGAGGGACCUGCUGACACACAUACAUGCGUACCCGGGGAGACAAACAAUGAAUAAUAGAUGACAAAAUUGGCACCGAGAUAUAUGGGUGACAUGUUCUAGCUUAUAAUAUUGUUACA
ensembl:ncRNA K11G9.9 ncRNA